GCGUCGGUGGUCCAACGGCUAAGACAAUGGCCUUCCAAGUCAUUUAUCUGGGUUCGAAUCCCAGCCGACGCA
rnacentral:tRNA from 1 species